rnacentral:rRNA from 1 species
AGUGAACGCUGGCGGUAGGCCUAACACAUGCAAGUCGAACGGCAGCACAGUAAGAGCUUGCUCUUACGGGUGGCGAGUGGCGGACGGGUGAGGAAUACAUCGGAAUCUACUUUUUCGUGGGGGAUAACGUAGGGAAACUUACGCUAAUACCGCAUACGACCUACGGGUGAAAGCAGGGGAUCUUCGGACCUUGCGCGAUUGAAUGAGCCGAUGUCGGAUUAGCUCGUUGGCGGGGUAAAGGCCCACCAAGGCGACGAUGCGUAGCUGGUCUGAGAGGAUGGUCAGCCACACUAGAACUGAGACACGGUCCAGACUCCUACGGGAGGCAGCAGUGGGGAAUAUUGGACAAUGGGGGCAAGCCUGAUCCAGCCAUACCGCGUGGGUGAAGAAGGCCUUCGGGUUGUAAAGACCUUUUGUUGGGAAAGAAAAGCAGCAGGUUAAUACCCCGCUGCUCUGACGGUACCCAAAGAAUAAGCACCGGCUAACUUCGUG